UUUUUGAAAUUAAUUUAAAGUCUAACCUGCCCACUGAAUAUUUAAAUGGCCGCAGUAUUUUAACUGUGCAAAGGUAGCAUAAUCAUUAGUCUUUUAAUUAAAGGCUGGAAUGAAUGGUUGAAUGAAAUAUUAACUGUUUCAUAAAAAUUUUUAAUAAAACUUUAUUUUUUAGUUAAAAAGCUAAAAUAAUAUUAAAAGACGAGAAGACCCUAUAAAUCUUUAUAUUUAUCUAAUUUUAAUUAUAUAGAUAAAUUAAAUUAUAAUUAUUUAAAGUAUUUUAUUGGGGUGAUAUUAAAAUUUAAUAAACUUUUAAUUUAUAAUUUACAUAAAUUAAUGAAUUUUUGAUCCAUAUAUUAUGAUUAAAAAAUUAAGUUACUUUAGGGAUAACAGCGUAAUUUUUUUAGAGAGUUCAUAUUGAUAAAAA
rnacentral:rRNA from 1 species